rnacentral:rRNA from 1 species
ACGGGUGAGUAACACGUGGGAACGUACCCUUUGGUUCGGAAUAACGCUGGGAAACUAGCGCUAAUACCGGAUACGCCCUUUUGGGGAAAGGCUUGCUGCCGAAGGAUCGGCCCGCGUCUGAUUAGCUAGUUGGUGGGGUAAUGGCCUACCAAGGCGACGAUCAGUAGCUGGUCUGAGAGGAUGAUCAGCCACACUGGGACUGAGACACGGCCCAGACUCCUACGGGAGGCAGCAGUGGGGAAUAUUGGACAAUGGGCGCAAGCCUGAUCCAGCCAUGCCGCGUGAGUGAUGAAGGCCUUAGGGUUGUAAAGCUCUUUUGUCCGGGACGAUAAUGACGGUACCGGAAGAAUAAGCCCCGGCUAACUUCGUACCAGCAGCCGCGGUAAUACGAAGGGGGCUAGCGUUGCUCGGAAUCACUGGGCGUAAAGGGCGCGUAGGCGGCCAUUCAAGUCGGGGGUGAAAGCCUGUGGCUCAACCACAGAAUUGCCUUCGAUACUGUUUGGCUUGAGUUUGGUAGAGGUUGGUGGAACUGCGAGUGUAGAGGUGAAAUUCGUAGA